UACGUAGGGGGCAAGCGUUGUCCGGAUUUAUUGGGCGUAAAGAGCGUGUAGGCGGCUUGGUAGGUCUCGCGUCAAAACCUGAGACUCAACCUCAGUUCGCGUGGGAAACCACCUAGCUAGAGUCCGGAAGAGGAGAACGGAAUUCCCAGUGUAGCGGUGAAAUGCGCAGAUAUUGGGAAGAACACCAGUGGCGAAGGCGGUUCUCUGGGACGGUACUGACGCUGAGACGCGAAAGCGUGGGGAGCGAACAGG
rnacentral:rRNA from 1 species